AGAGGGUUAGGUUAAGGUAGACCAGAAAGUCUUCAAAACUUUUUGUAUUGGUUCAAGUCCAGUACCCUUUG
rnacentral:tRNA from 1 species